CGUGCCAGCAGCUGCGGUAAUACGUAGGGUGCAAGCGUUAAUCGGAAUUACUGGGCGUAAAGCGUGCGCAGGCGGUUUGCUAAGACCGAUGUGAAAUCCCCGGGCUCAACCUGGGAACUGCAUUGGUGACUGGCAGGCUAGAGUAUGGCAGAGGGGGGUAGAAUUCCACGUGUAGCAGUGAAAUGCGUAGAGAUGUGGAGGAAUACCGAUGGCGAAGGCAGCCCCCUGGGCCAAUACUGACGCUCAUGCACGAAAGCGUGGGGAGCAAACAGGAUUAGAUACCCUGGUAGUCCACGCCCUAAACGAUGUCAACUAGUUGUUGGGGAUUCAUUUCCUUAGUAACGUAGCUAACGCGUGAAGUUGACCGCCUGGGGAGUACGGUCGCAAGAUUAAAACUCAAAGGAAUUGACGGGGACCCGCACAAGCGGUGGAUGAUGUGGAUUAAUUCGAUGCAAUGCGAAAAACCUUACCUACCCUUACCCUGUGUCUUUAUCUUGAAGAAGAUUCGGGCAUGUGCUCGGAAAGAG
rnacentral:rRNA from 1 species